rnacentral:lncRNA from 1 species
GUAACAUAGACAAAUUGAGACACUCAAGUUUUGAUUUGUGGUUGAUGUUAAAAGCCUUCAAGUACAUGAUUAUUUAUAGGUACUAGUACUAGUACUACUACUACUACUACUACUACUACUACUACUGUUGUUGUUGUUGCUGCUGCUAUUGUUAUUACUAUUGUUACUUUUACUACUGUUAUUACUGCAAUUACUAUUACAGUUGUAACGGCCCUCCAAUCUGUGGCGAUCCGCCACAGAUUGGCUAUUUUCGGUCGUUUUCGGCUGAAUUCGACCAAACUUGCAUUGGUCCCUACGAUAAAACAACCCUAGGGCCUUCGAUGGGCCAAAAAAUCACGAAAAACUGAGACUUAUUAGUGGCGGUGCUCUCGGGUGCGGCGGCUUCUCCGGCGUGAGUCGCGUUUUGAUGUUUUGCUCCGUUCAACUUGUAGAGAAAAGAACGAUGAUCACAGUGGUAUAAAAAUUGCAUCGAAUGGAGACUGGGAAGGGCCUCAUUGGAGGCAAAAACAGAGGGAAGCCGCGACGACGCCGCCAAACUUCGGCGGGGUUUUCCGACCGAUUGGCCGGUGGCUUGGCUCCGGUUUGGCCAUAGGCGGAUUCAGCAUCGAAAAAUGAUCCAGGGAGAAAAAAUUUACCUCGAUUGGCGGUCAAAAAAUUCUCUGGUGCGGCGGCGGGUGGCGGCGGCCGGCUCCUCCGGCGUCGAGUUCUUCUUCUCCGGCGAGGUACUGGCGGCUAGGGUUUUGUGGUCAGGUGUGGGUGGGGUUAUUUAUACCCUUUGCCUUUUAAUCUCAACCGUCCAUCAAGAUUAAAUCUGGACCGUCCGAUCGCGAUUUAUUUGGAAUUAAAUCUGGACCGUCCAUCGCGAUGUGAUCUGGGCCGUCCGUGCCUGAUUGAAUCUGGGCCGUCCAUGCGUACAUUUGAUCUUGGCCGUCCGUGUGCGGGGGAACAGAUCUGGGCUGUCCGAUCGCGCGCACGCGGAUCGCCCACGUGGCCCGUCCCAUGUCAGCAUUUCCUUGCCACGCGGCAUGUCCUGGUUGGCCCGGAGCUGCGACCGGGCUGCUGACGUGGCUGCUGAUGUGGCACAACUUUUCCAAAUUGUAUUUUGACCCCUGAUUUCUGA